GACUCCACGAAGAACCAAAAAAACCAAAAAAGAAAAAGAAAAAAGAAAAAACCAAAACCAAAACCAAAACCGCUUCUUCAGAACGAAAAUCUAGAGAGAGAGAUAAAUCACAGCGAGAGAGAGAGAGAGAGAGAGAGGGAGAGAGAGUAGGCAUUAAUGGCGGAGGGGAAGAGAGAGAGGAGAGCGAGCAGCGAGGAGAGCGUGAAGCUGUUCGUAGGUCAAGUGCCGAAGCACAUGACGGAGGUUCAGCUCCUAGCAAUGUUCAAGGAGUUCGCACUCGUCGACGAGGUCAACAUCAUCAAGGACAAGGCCACGCGCGCCUCACGUGGGUGUUGCUUCGUGAUAUGUCCGUCGAGGCAGGAAGCGGACAAGGCCGUAAAUGCUUGUCACAACAAGAAGACUCUGUCUGGGGCAUCUAGUCCGUUGCAAGUGAAGUAUGCAGAUGGCGAGUUGGAAAGACUAGAACACAAGCUCUUCGUUGGCAUGCUUCCAAAGAAUGUUUCUGAAGCCGAUGUUUCUGCUCUCUUCUCUAAAUAUGGAGCUAUCAAGGACUUACAGAUAUUAAGAGGUUCUCAGCAAACUAGUAAAGGCUGUGCAUUUUUGAAGUAUGAGACAAAAGAGCAAGCAAUUGCAGCACUUGAGGCCAUCAAUGGAAAGCAUAAAAUGGAGGGAUCAAGUGUUCCUUUGGUCGUGAAAUGGGCAGAUACUGAAAAAGAAAGGCAAGCACGGAGGGCUCAGAAAGCUCAAUCCCAGGCUUCUAACGUGUCAAGUAUUGAUUCACAACAUCCUUCAUUAUUUGGAGCUUUGCCAAUGGGUUAUGUUCCCCAAUAUAAUGGAUAUGGUUAUCAGGCUCCUGGAACCUAUGGACUUAUGCAAUACCGCCUGCCACAAAUUCAGAAUCAACCUGGAUUUCAUAAUAUGAUUCCUACAGUAAACCAAGGAAAUGCAUUGCGUGGAAUUACGCCUGAUCUUGGCCCUGGUAUGGCAUCUAGAAAUUAUGCUAUUCCUCCUGCAAGUUAUGUGGGCUCUUAUCCAGGGGUACCAGGUCUUCAGCAUCCCAUGGCAUAUCCUGGAGGAAUGAUGAGUCACCGGCCAAUGAGUGGUUCACCUGGGUCAGUGCCACCUGCUGUUGUUAACGGUAAUUCUGCGACAUCUUCUGGCACGGGUAAAAGUUCUGGGGGUCAGGUUGAAGGUCCACCUGGUGCUAAUCUAUUUAUUUAUCACAUACCUCAAGAAUUUGGAGAUCAAGAGCUUGCCAAUGCUUUUCAGGCAUUUGGUAGGGUCUUGAGUGCUAAGGUUUUUGUCGACAAAGCAACUGGUGUCAGCAAAUGUUUUGGAUUUGUCAGCUAUGACUUACCAGAGGCUGCUCAAUCUGCCAUUAGUAUGAUGAAUGGAUUCCAGUUAGGUGGCAAGAAAUUAAAGGUUCAGCUUAAGAGAGAUAAUAGAGAGAGUAAAUCUUAUUGAAUUGAAGGAAUGAUUUUUUCAGUAACAUGCUGGAAGCUAAUCUUCUUUUUCAGUCAUUCAUUUCAAAAUGUUAGAUAUGUUUCCCUAAACGGUACAAUUCAGGGUAUUGCGGAUUCUAUAUCUUGGGUCUCUGUUGGUGCUUCCUUCCUACAAGCAGUCCAAUGUGCUAAAAGUAAGACUGAGGGUUUUUUUCUGAAUUAACAGGGGGAAGAAUGAAAAGAAGAACUAUCACACUCAAUUGGGAUCAGAAGAUGGUGAAGGGAUCGUAGUCUUCAAAGAGGCCUGGUCUACAUAUUGGCGCUUCAGGUUUCUUAAGAAUUAUGUCAGACCAAUGUCUUUUACUUUUCUUCUUGGUUCACCUCCUUAGAACAGAUUUCUCAUAGGCCUUCUGCGAGUUAACUAGAAAGUAUGUGCUUUGGGGCCGUUGCAACAUUCUUUUGGUUGGCACCCUCUGGCGAGAGGUAUAUGGAAGAAAUCUGGACAGGGUGGGCACCAUCUGGCUGUGUCUUUAUAAGUUUUUCAUGUUACUGACUAUAUAUAUAGUUUAAGUUUUUCAUUGUAUUGGCUAUGUAUGCACUCUGAUGUGAUAGUCAUUUUAGUGUUUGAUUUAAGUCGAAAUGUAUUUCAUCCUUUCUUC